GUGGGGAAUCUUGCCCAAUGGGCGCAAGCCUGAGGCAGCAACGCCGCGUGCGGGAAGAAGGCCCUCGGGUUGUAAACCGCUUUCAGCAGGAACGAAAAUGACGGUACCUGCAGAAGAAGGUGCGGCCAACUACGUGCCAGCAGCCGCGGUGACACGUAGGCACCAAGCGUUGUCCGGAUUUAUUGGGCGUAAAGAGCUCGUAGGCGGUUCGGUAAGUCGGGUGUGAAAUCCCAGGGCUCAACCCUGGAACUGCACCCGAUACUGCUGUGACUUGAGUCCGGUAGGGGAGCGUGGAAUUCCUGGUGUAGCGGUGGAAUGCGCAGAUAUCAGGAGGAACACCAAUGGCGAAGGCAGCGCUCUGGGCCGGUACUGACGCUGAGGAGCGAAAGCGUGGGGAGCGAACAGGAUUAGAAACCCUGGUAGUCC
rnacentral:rRNA from 1 species